rnacentral:rRNA from 1 species
UAGGGAAUCUUCGGCAAUGGACGAAAGUCUGAUCGAGCAACGCCGCGUGAGUGAAGAAGGUUUUCGGAUCGUAAAACUCUGUUGUUAGAGAAGAACGUUGCAUAGAGUGGAAAAUUAUGCAAGUGACGGUAUCUAACCAGAAAGGGACGGCUAACUACGUGCCAGCAGCCGCGGUAAUACGUAGGUCCCGAGCGUUGUCCGGAUUUAUUGGGCGUAAAGCGAGCGCAGGUGGUUUAAUAAGUCUGAUGUAAAAGGCAGUGGCUCAACCAUUGUGUGCAUUGGAAACUGUUAGACUUGAGUGCAGUAGAGGAGAGUGGAAUUCCAUGUGUAGCGGUGAAAUGCGUAGAUAUAUGGAGGAACACCGGUGGCGAAAGCGGCUCUCUGGACUGUCACUGACACUGAGGCUCGAAAGCGUGGGUAGCAAACAGGAUUAGAUACCCUGGUAGUCCACGCCGUAAACGAUGAGUGCUAGUUGUUUGGGGUUAUCCAGCCCUAAGUGACGCAGCAAACGCAUUAAGCACUCCGCCUGGGGAGUACGACCGCAAGGUUGAAAC